UUGGAGGGCAAGUCUGGUGCCAGCAGCCGCGGUAAUUCCAGCUCCAAUAGCGUAUAUUAAAGUUGUUGCAGUUAAAAAGCUCGUAGUUGAAUUUCGGGAUUAGUACGUUGGUCGUGCCUUCGGUACGUACUGGUGUUACUGAUUCCUACCUUCUGACGAACCAUCAUGUCAUUAAUUUGGUGUGGCGGGGAAUCAGGACUGUUACUUUGAAAAAAUUAGAGUGUUUAAAGCAGGCUCGCGCUUGAAUACAUUAGCAUGGAAUAAUGAAAUAGGACGUUGAUCCUAUUUUGUUGGUUUCUAGGAUUGACGUAAUGAUUAAUAGGGAUAGUUGGGGGCAUUAGUAUUCAAUUGUCAGAGGUGAAAUUCUUGGAUUUAUUGAAGACUAACUACUGCGAAAGCAUUUGCCAAGGAUGUUUUCAUUAAUCAAGAACGAAAGUUAGGGGAUCGAAGACGAUCAGAUACCGUCGUAGUCCUAACCAUAAACUAUGCCGACUAGGGAUCGGAUGAUGUUAAUUUUUAAUGACUCAUUCGGCGCCUUACGGGAAAC
rnacentral:rRNA from 1 species